GAUGAACGCUGGCGGCGUGCCUCAAACAUGCAAGUCGAGCGGGGCUAUGUAAUAUCGCAAGGUAGAACAUAGCCUAGCGGCGAACGGGUGAGUAACACGUGGGUAACCUGCCUGGAAGACAGGGAUAACGAUUCGAAAGGGUCGCUAAUACCUGAUAAUAUCCUUUCAUCGCAUGGUGAUAGGAAGAAAGGGGAAACCCGCUUUCAGAUGGGCCCGCGUCCCAUCAGCUAGUUGGUAAGGUAAAGGCUUACCAAGGCGACGACGGGUAGCCGGUCUGAGAGGAUGUACGGCCACACUGGGACUGAGAUACGGCCCAGACUCCUACGGGAGGCAGCAGUUGGGAAUCUUAGGCAAUGGGCGAAAGCCUGACCCAGCGACGCCGCGUGAGGGAAGAAGGCCUUCGGGUCGUAAACCUCUGUCAUGGGGAAGAAGCAAGUGACGGUACCCCAAGAGGAAGCCCCUGCUAACUACGUGCCAGCAGCCGGGUAAAUAGCGUACU
rnacentral:rRNA from 1 species